AGGACAGUAUGGCAAGAUUUACAUUUACAGAGCUGCGUAUCAUAUUCCAGCCCCUCUGGCUUUAUGAUCUAUUUAACUACAUAAUUGCAUACUAUUUUGACAGGAAUCCUUUCUCCUCAUUCGGUGCAGAGGAAUGACGUUACUCAAAGCAUUAUUCAAAAUUGAGAGUGGCAUGAUUUUGUUGUCUGCAGAACCACUACUUCAGAUACUCCAAGAAGCAGAGAGUAGAAAGUGGAACAGAUGACUGCAGAAAGAGGGUGCUCUUACAGUUAAAGCAACUGAAUGUCAUUCUGGAAAAGCAGCUCUGCUAUUGACUUCCUACCUAACGAUGACCACGGAACAAGACUGCAAUUGAGUGAGCAUCAGAAACAGAAACUGCAUUUUCCAUCUUUGCUUUUCCUCCUCUGUGUGCAUGUAUCUUCUAUUGUCUUCAAGGAACGAGUAUGAAGUUUAAAACAAUGCUGAGAAAAAACAGACAGCUAUCCUGCCAGAUGCCAUGUCCUGUGAUGUAUCCAGGUUUGGUAAGAGGAAUACUCUUAUCCAAGAAUACUCACCUUUGAAGCAGUCAAGAGCAUCAUGGUGCAUUUCUCAAGA